rnacentral:SRP_RNA from 1 species
GCCAGGUGUUGUGGCGGCGGCCUGUAGCCCCAGUUACUCGGGAGGCUGAGGCAAGAGAAUCGCCUAAGCCCAGGAGUUGGAGGUUGCUGUGAGCUGUGACGCCACAUCACUCUACCGAGGGCAACAAAGUGAGACUCAUUUUGUUGCCCUCGGUAGAGUAAUGUGGCAUCACAGCUCGCAGUAACCUCCAACUCCUGGGCUUACGGGAUUCUCUUGCCUCAG